rnacentral:rRNA from 1 species
GGCCAGACUCCUACGGGAGGCAGCAGUGGGGGAUAUUGCACAAUGGGGGAAACCCUGAUGCAGCGAUGCCGCGUGAGUGAAGACGGCCUUCGGGUUGUAAAGCUCUGUCGCAGAGGACGAAAAUGACGGUACUCUGCAAGAAAGCACCGGCUAACUCCGUGCCAGCAGCCGCGGUAAUACGGGGGGUGCAAGCGUUGUCCGGAAUCAUUGGGCGUAAAGCGUUCGUAGGCGGUGUGUCAAGUCUGAUGUUAAAGCCCGGGGCUCAACUCCGGUUCGGCAUUGGAUACUGGCAAACUAGAAUGUGGUAGAGGUAAAGGGAAUUCCUGGUGUAGCGGUGAAAUGCGUAGAUAUCAGGAGGAACAUCGGUGGCGAAAGCGCUUUACUGGACCAUUAUUGACGCUGAGGAACGAAAGCCAGGGGAGCAAAUGGGAUUAGAUACCCGUGUA